rnacentral:rRNA from 1 species
GAUGAACGCUGGCGGCGUGCCUAAUACAUGCAAGUCGAGCGAACAGACGAGGAGCUUGCUCCUCUGACGUUAGCGGCGGACGGGUGAGUAACACGUGGAUAACCUACCUAUAAGACUGGGAUAACUUCGGGAAACCGGAGCUAAUACCGGAUAACAUGUUGAACCGCAUGGUUCAACAGUGAAAGACGGUCUUGCUGUCACUUAUAGAUGGAUCCGCGCCGCAUUAGCUAGUUGGUAAGGUAACGGCUUACCAAGGCAACGAUGCGUAGCCGACCUGAGAGGGUGAUCGGCCACACUGGAACUGAGACACGGUCCAGACUCCUACGGGAGGCAGCAGUAGGGAAUCUUCCGCAAUGGGCGAAAUCCUGACGGAGCAACGCCGCGUGAGUGAAGAAGGUCUUCGGAUCGUAAAACUCUGUUAUUAGGGAAGAACAAAUGUGUAAGUAACUAUGCACGUCUUGAAGGUACCUAAUCAGAAAGCCACGGCUAACUACGUG